ACUUAUUUAAUAUAAUUAGUAUAUUUAACUUCCAAUUAAAAAGUUUGAUUUUAUCAAAAUAAGUA
rnacentral:tRNA from 1 species